rnacentral:rRNA from 1 species
GAAUCAGCCGGUCUCGCGAAUGCCUAGGCUUAAUUGAUCAUGGCUCAGAUCCAACGCGGUUAAAGCAUGCUUUACACAUGCAAGUCGAACGGUAACAGGUCUUCGGAUGCUGACGAGUGGCGAACGGGUGAGUAAUACAUCGGAACGUGCCUAGUAGUGGGGGAUAACUACUCGAAAGAGUAGCUAAUACCGCAUGAGAUCUACGGAUGAAAGCAGGGGACCUUCGGGCCUUGUGCUACUAGAGCGGCUGAUGGCAGAUUAGGUAGUUGGUGGGGUAAAGGCUUACCAAGCCUGCGAUCUGUAGCUGGUCUGAGAGGACGACCAGCCACACUGGGACUGAGACACGGCCCAGACUCCUACGGGAGGCAGCAGUGGGGAAUUUUGGACAAUGGGCGAAAGCCUGAUCCAGCAAUGCCGCGUGCAGGAUGAAGGCCCUCGGGUUGUAAACUGCUUUUGUACGGAACGAAAAGCCUGGGCUAAUAUCCCCGGGUCAUGACGGGUACCGUAAGAAAUAAGCACCGGCUAACUACGUGCCAGCAGGCCGCGGUAAUACGUAGGGUGCAAGCGUUAAUCGGAAUUACUGGGCGUAAAGCGUNCGCAGGNNGUUUUGGAAGACANGUGGUAAAAUCCCCCCGGGGCUCAAACCCUGGGGAAACUGGCCAUUUGUGACUGGCAAGGGCUAGAAUGCCGGCAGAAGGGGGAUGGNAUCCGCGUGUAGCCAUGAAAUGCCGUAAGAANGCCGGAGAACACGAUGGNCAAGGCACUCCCUGGGCCGACUGAACGCNCAUGCCGAANUGGGAGCCACCCGGUAGNCCCCGUUNGCNCGCAACAAGNGGGUGUGGCACACCCCACACACCGAAACGCNGGACCGGCGCGGAACAGAG